rnacentral:rRNA from 1 species
GACAGAGGUGCCAAGCGUUAGGCGGAAUCACUGGGCUUAAAGCGUGUGUAGGCGGAAUGGUAAGUACCUUGUGAAAUCCCACGGCUCAACCGUGGAACUGCUGGGUAUACUGCUUUUCUUGAGCCACUUAGGGGCUACCGGAACAAAUGGUGGAGCGGUGAAAUGCGUAGAUAUCAUUUGGAACGCCAAUGGUGAAAACAGGUAGCUGGGGGUGUGCUGACACUGAGACACGAAAGCCAGGGGAGCAAACGGG